rnacentral:rRNA from 1 species
CAUGGCGGACGGGUGAGUAACGCGUAAAGAACUUGCCCUUUAGACUGGGAUAACAGAGGGAAACUUCUGAUAAUACUGGAUAAGUUAGUAUAUCGCAUGAUAUGCAAAUGAAAGCUACGGCACUAAAGGAGAGCUUUGCGUCCUAUUAGCUAGUUGGUAAGGUAAGAGCUUACCAAGGCGAUGAUAGGUAGCCGGCCUGAGAGGGUGGACGGCCACAAGGGGACUGAGAUACGGCCCUUACUCC